rnacentral:rRNA from 1 species
CUUUACUAUAGCUUCACAUUGACAUCGGCUGCCCGAUGUGUAGGAUAGGUGGGAGACUUUGAAGCUGCGUCGCUAGGCGUGGUGGAGUCAACGUUGAAAUACCACCCUUCUGUCAUCUGAUGUCUAAUCCCUGCGAAACAGGGAAACAAUGUGUGGUGGGUAGUUUGACUGGGGUGGUCGCCUCCAAAAGUGUAUCGGAGGCUUUCAAAGGUUCCCUCAGCACGCUUGGUAACCGUGCGUUGAGUGCAUUGGCAUAAGGGAGCUUGACUGCGAGACCAACAAGUCGAGCAGGUACGAAAGUAGGACAAAGUGAUCCGGUGGUUCCGUAUGGAAGGGCCAUCGCUCAUAGGAUAAAAGGUA